rnacentral:rRNA from 1 species
AUUGAACGCUGGCGGCAUGCCUUACACAUGCAAGUCGAACGGUAACAGGUCUUCGGAUGCUGACGAGUGGCGAACGGGUGAGUAAUACAUCGGAACGUGCCUAGUAGUGGGGGAUAACUACUCGAAAGAGUGGCUAAUACCGCAUGAGAUCUACGGAUGAAAGCAGGGGAUCGCAAGACCUUGUGCUACUAGAGCGGCCGAUGGCAGAUUAGGUAGUUGGUGGGAUAAAAGCUUACCAAGCCGACGAUCUGUAGCUGGUCUGAGAGGGCGAUCAGACACACUGAGACUGGGACACGGACCAGAGUCCUACGGGAGGCAGAAGUGGGGAAUGUGGAACAAUGGGCGAAAGCCUGAUCCAGCAAUGCCGCGUGCAGGAUGAAGGCCUUCGGGUUGUAAACUGCUUUUGUACGGAACGAAAAGCCCCGGGUUAAUACCCUGGGGUCAUGACGGUACCGUAAGAAUAAGCACCGGCUAACUACGUGCCAGCCGCCGCAGUAA